UACGGAGGGUGCAAGCGUUAAUCGGAAUUACUGGGCGUAAAGCGUGCGCAGGCGGUUUGUUAAGUCCGUUGUGAAAGCCCCGAGCUCAACUUGGGAAUUGCAGUGGAUACUGGCAGGCUGGAGUACGGUAGAGGAAGGUGGAAUUCCCGGUGUAGCAGUGAAAUGCGUAGAUAUCGGGAGGAACACCAGUGGCGAAGGCGGCUACCUGGCACAUAACUGACGCUGAUACGCGAAAGCGUGGGGAGCGAACCGG
rnacentral:rRNA from 1 species